rnacentral:rRNA from 1 species
AAUGGACGUUGGCGGCAUGGAUUAGGCAUGCAAGUCGAGCGAGAAGUGUAGCAAUACACGGAAAGCGGCGGAAGGGAGAGUAAUACGUGGGAAUCUGCCCUUAGACCUGGGAUAGCAGCGGGAAACUGCUGGUAAUACCAGAUAAUGUCUAUGGACCAAAGGUGUGAUUCCGUCUAGGGAUGAGCCCACGUCCUAUUAGCUAGUUGGUUGGGUAAUGGCCUACCAAGGCGAUGAUGGGUAGCGGGUGUGAGAGCAUGACCCGCCUCACUGGGACUGAGACACUGCCCAGACUCCUACGGGUGGCUGCAGUCGAGAAUCUUCGGCAAUGGGCGAAAGCCUGACCGAGCGACGCCGCGUGCGGGAUGAAGGCCUUCGGGUUGUAAACCGCUGUCGUAGUGGAGGAAAUGUAGGAGAGUUAUCUCAUCUACUUGACUAAUACUAGGAGGAAGGACCGGCUAAUCUCGUGCCAGCAGCCGCCGUAACAC